rnacentral:rRNA from 1 species
UAGGGAAUCUUCCACAAUGGACGCAAGUCUGAUGGAGCAACGCCGCGUGAGUGAAGAAGGUUUUCGGAUCGUAAAGCUCUGUUGUUGGUGAAGAAGGAUAGAGGUAGUAACUGGCCUUUAUUUGACGGUAAUCAACCAGAAAGUCACGGCUAACUACGUGCCAGCAGCCGCGGUAAUACGUAGGUGGCAAGCGUUGUCCGGAUUUAUUGGGCGUAAAGCGAGCGCAGGCGGAAGAAUAAGUCUGAUGUGAAAGCCCUCGGCUUAACCGAGGAACUGCAUCGGAAACUGUUUGUCUUGAGUGCAGAAGAGAAGAGUGGAAUUCCAUGUGUGGCGGUGGAAUGCGUAGAUAUAUGGAAGAACACCAGUGGCGAAGGCGACUCUCUGGUCUGCAACUGACGCUGAGGCUCGAAAGCAUGGGUAGCGAACAGG